rnacentral:lncRNA from 1 species
ACACUCACGCUCACACUCACACACACUCACACUCACUCACACACAGUCACAGUCACGGUCACAGUCAGAGUCACACACACUCGCACACUCACACAUUCACACACACACGCACACACACUCACACACACACUCACACUCACAACUCAUACUCACACACACACUCACAUUCACACGCACACACAAACUCACACACUCACUCACACACACACUCAUGCUCACACUCACUCACACUCACACUCGCUCACACUCACACUCACACUCACACUCACACACCCACUCACACACGCUCACACAUACUCACACACUCACACUCACACUCGCACUCACACACACACACUUUCACACUUACACACUCAUACACUAACACACACUCACACAGACUCACACUCACAACUUACACUCACACUCACAUAUAUAUGCUACACAUAUAUGUGUGUUGUGUGUGGACUGAUGUGUGUAUAUAUACGAUAUGUAUAUAUUUAUAUGUUUAUGCGUUUAUGUAUACAAUUGCUUGCUAUCAAUUAUAUAUAGUUAUCAAUGUAUAUAUACACUGAUAUACACACGCACAUGUACCCUUACACGUUGAUAGGUUCAUAUAUACUGUGUAUGUAUACACUAAUACAUACAUUGACACUCACACUCACAUUGACACUGACACUAACACUAACACUGACACUCACACUGACACUCACACUCACACUCACACUCACACUCACUCACAGUCACAGUCACACUGACACUGACACUGACACUGACACUGACACUGACACUCACUCACACUCACACUCACACUCACACUCACUCACACUCACACUCACACUCACACUCACACUCACAUUCACACUAACACUCACUCACACUCACACACACUCACACUCACAGAUAUAUAUAUUACACAUAUAUGCAUGUUGUGUAUGGACUGAUGUGUGUAUAUAUACGAUAUAUAUAUACUACUAUGUUUAUGCCUGUUUUUGCGAUCUUGAUUUUGAAAACUUGAUUUGCUUAAUGGUUCUUUCUUCUUUAAUAUAAUACUUCUUCUUUCAUGCAAAUAACAAGUGAAUUUUCUGGAGCUUUACUUGUGGUUUGCAAUUUUAUUAUGUAACUUUUCUUAACACACACACUCUUGCUUCUUUUAUGCAAAUAUGGAGUGAAUUUUUUGGAGCUUUACUUGUCUCCAAUUUCAUUAAGUAACUUUUUCUUAACACACACGCACACACACAUUCACACUCACACUCACACUCACACUCACACUCACACUCACACACUCACACGCGCACACACACUCACACUCACACUCACACUCACACACACUCACACUCACACUCUCACACAGUCACAGUCACGAUCACAUUCACUAUCAGAGUCACACACACCCUUGCACUCACACAUUCACACACUCACGUGUACACACACACACACACUCACAAUCACAACUCACACUCACACUCACACACACUCACAACUCACACUCACUCACACACACUCAACUCACACUCACACUCACACUCACACACUCACAUUCACACGCACACUCUCAAACUCACACACUCACACUCACACACAUACACGUUCACACUCACACUCACACUCACACUCACUCACACUCACACUCACACUCACACACACACUCACACACGCUCACACAUACUCACACACUCACACUCAACACUCGUACUCACACAUGUACACCUUCACACUUACACACACACACAUUCAUACACACUAACACACACUCACACAGACUCACACACACACAUACUCACACUCACAACUUACACUCGCACUCACAGAUAUAUGUUACACAUAUAUGCGUGUUGUGUAUGGAUUGAUGUGUGUAUAUAUACGAUAUGUAUAUACUUAUAUGUUUAUGCGUUUAUGUAUACAAUUGCUUGCUAUCAAUUAUAUAUAGUUAUCAAUGUAUAUAUACAUUGAUAUACACACUCACACUCACACUCGCACUCGCACAAAUAUAUAAGUAUGGGUUUGUAUAUACACUACUGUAUAAGACCAUGUAUAUAUACCUAUUAUCAGUGAUACAUACAAUUUCUUCUUUCCCAAUUGUGAUAGUCCAUGUAAAUUUUUUUUCUUAUUUGUACUUCUUUUUAUUAAUAUUGAUGAGCUUCAUCUUCAUCAAGUUUUCUUGUAAAUUAAGAAGCAUGAAAGAUCUUAUCAUCGAGGCGGAUCUCUUUCCGUUAUUCGAUAUUUAAGAUCUUGAUCUUGAUCUUGCACGCUUGAUUUCCUUAAUGGUUCUUUCUUCUCUAGUAUGGUAUUGCUCUUUCGUCUUUAAUGCAAAUACGGAAUGAAUUUUAUAGAGCUUUACUUGUGGUUUGCAAUUUUAUUAAGUAAUGUUUUCUUAACACACACAAUCUCUUGCUUCUUUCAUUCAACUAUGGAGUGAAUUUUUUGAAGCUUUACUUGUGGUUUGCAAUUUUAUUUACUUUUUCUUAAGAUACACAGCCUGUACACACACACACACUCACACUCACACUCCCACUAAUAUAUAAGAAUGGGUUUGUAUAUACGCUUCUGUAUAAGACCAUGUAUAUACCUAUUAUCAGUGAUAUAUACAGUUAUUAGCUCAAUUUGUGUAUGUAUUGAUGUAUAGCAGUACAUACCAUUGUUUUCAGGGUAUAUAUAUAUACUGAUGCAUAUAACCAUACAACACAUUAGUUAUUAGCUAUAUAUACAGUUAUCAGUGUGUAAAAAUACAUUGAUAUGUGGGUGUGUGUGUGAUGUCUGUAUAUAUACAAUGUGUAUACACGUAUUUGUGUGUAUAUGUAAAGUGCAUAACGAUAAAUUUUCAGUGCAUUACUAUAUACAUUUCUAUAUAUAUUGAUGUAUACACUUAUUAUCAGUUUUUAUAUUUAUUAAUGUAUAAUGUAUACUGAUUUAUAUACUAUACAUACACACACACACAUGCAUCAUACUCACACUCACACUCACACUUUCACUCACACUUACACUCACACUCACACAUACGUACACACACACUCACACUCACACUGAUAUCGUACGUACAUGCAUCUUUACGCAUUGAUAGUGCAUAUAUACAUUUCUAUAUACAUUGAUAUGUAUGACCAUAUAGAUACUUAUUAUCAGUUUAUACAGUUAUUAGUGUGUGUAUAUUGAAAUGUAUAUACAUACACUUAUAUACAUAUGUAUAAAGGGUUAAUAUUUACACGAAUGUAUUAGACCAUGUGUAUACUUAUUAUCAGUGAUAUAUACAGUUAUUAGCUCAAUUUGUAUAUGUAUUGAUGUAUAGCAAAACGUACCAUUGUUUUCAGAGGAUAUAUAUAUAUAGUGAUGUAUAUAACUAUAUAAUACAUUACUUAUUUGCUAUAGAUACAAUUUCUAUGGUGUAAAAAUACAUUGAUAUGUGUGUGUGUGUGAUGUCUAUAUAUAUACGAUGUGUAUAUACGGAUUUUUGUGUAUGUAUAAAGUGCAUAACUGUAUAUAUAGAAUGCAUUAGUAUAUAUAUUUCUAUAUACAUUGAUGUAUAUGACCAUCUAUACACUUAUUAUUAGUUUAUACCUUUAUUAACGUAUACGUACGUUGAUUUAUAUAUUACAAAUACACGCUCUCAUACUCACAUUCACACUCACACUCAUACAUACACACACACACACUCGCACUCACACACACUCACACUCGCACUAGCACUCACACUCACACUCCUCGCACUCACACACACACUCAUGCUCAUGCUCACACUCACAUUCAUACUCACGCUCACGCUCACACUCACACUCACACUCAAACUCACCUCUAAUCUGAUAUGCCUCGGCGAAAUUCCAUAUUACUUUGUAUAGAAUUAAGCAUAAGAAUGGGUUUUUUCUCUUGAUGAAUUGGGUAUGCUAAAUACGCAAUUGUGAUAAUUCUUGUUAAUUUCUUAUCUUAUUUGUACUUGUUUUUAUUAUUAUUGAUGAGCUUCAUCUUCAUCGAGUUUUCUUGUAAAUUAACAAGCUUGAUGCAACUUGUCAUUAAGGCGGAUCUCCUUACGUUAUUCGAUAUUUGAUAUCUUCAUCUUGCUAGCUUGAUUUGCUUAAUGGUUCUUUCUUCUCUAGUAUAGUAUUACUGCUCUUACUUCUUUCAUGCAAAUAUGGUGUGAAUUUUCUGAUGGUUUACUUGUGGUUUGCAAUUUUAUUAUGUAACUUUUUCUUAACACACACACAUAUGCACACCAAACACACACAUACUCACACUCACACUAAGGUAUAUGACCAUGUAUAUAUUUAUUAUCAGCGAUAUAUACCGUUAUUAGCUCAAUUUGCGUAUGUAUUGAUGUAUAACAAUAUAUACCAUUGUUUUCAGAGUGUAUAUAUAUAUAUAUACUGAUGCAUAUAGCCAUACAAUACAUUAGUUAUUCAAUAUAUAUACAGUUACUAAUGUGUAAAAAUACAUUGAUAUGUGCAUGUGUGUGUGUGUGACGUUUGUAUAUAUACGAUGUAUACGUGCGGAUUUGUGUGUAUGUGUAAAGUGCAUAAUUGUUUAUAUACAGUGCAUUAAUAUAUACAUUUCUAUAUAUAUUGAUGUAUAUGAUCAUAUAUAAACUUAUUAUCAGUUUAUACAUUUAUUAACGUAUAUGUACAUUGAUUUAUAUACUACACACACGCACUCACACUCACAUUUACGCACACGCAUUCACACUUGCACACGCACUCACACUCACACGUACACUCACAUAUACACACGCACUCACACACACACACACACUCACACUCACACUCACACUCACUCGCACUCGCACUCGCACUCACACUCACACUCAAACUCACACACACUCACACUCACUCACAGAUAUAUAACUAUCACCUCUAAUAUGAUAAGCCUAGGCAAAAUUCAUUAUUACUCUGUAUAGAAUUAGGCUUAAGAAUGGGUAUCUUCUCUUGAUGAAUUGGCUAUGCUAAAUACCCAUUUGUGAUAGACCAUUUAAAUUUUUUUCUUAUUUGUACUUAUUUUUAUUAAUAUUGAUGAGCUUCAUCUUCAUCGAGUUUUCUUUUAAAUCAACAAGCAGGAAAGCAACUUAACAUGAAGGUGGAUUUCUUUACGUUAUUUGAUAUUUGAGAUCUUGAUCUUGCAAGCUUGAUUUGCUUAAUGGUUCUUUCUUCUCAUGUAUAGUACUGCUCUUUCUUCUUUUAUGCAAAUACGGAGUGAAUUUUCUAGAGAUUUAGUUGUGGUUUGCAAUUGUAUUAAGUAACUUUUUCUUAACACACAAACUCUUGCUUCUUUCAUGUAAAUAUGGAGUGAAUUUUUUGGAGCUUUAGUUGCGAUUUGCAAUUUUAUUAAGUAACUUGUUCUUAACACACACACACUCACACUCACACUCACUAAUGUAUAAGAAUGGGUUUGUAUAUACAUUACUGUAUAAGACUAAGUAUAUACCUAUUAUCAGUGAUAUAUGCAGUUAUUAGCUCAAUUUGUAUAUGUAUUGAUGUAUAGCAACAUAUAUCAGUGUUUUCAGAGUUUAUAUAUAUACUGAUGCAUAUAACCAUACAAUAAAUUGUUAUCAACCAUAUAUACAGUUACUAGUGUGUAAAAAUUCAUUGAUAUGUGUGUGUGAUGUCUGUAUAUAUACGAUGUAUAUAUACGGAUUUGUGUGUAUGUGUAAAGUGUACAAUUGUAUAUUUUCAGUGCAUUAUUAUAUGCAUUUCUAUAUAUAUUGAUGUACAUGACUAUAUAUACACUUAUUAUCAGUUUAUACAUUUAUUAAUGUAUAUAUACAUUGAUUUAUAUACUACACAUAUAUACACGCACUCACACUUGCACUCACACUCACACUCACAUUCACACUCACACUCGCACACAUACAUACACAUUCACACUCACACUCACACUGAUAUGCGCUUGCACAUGCACCCUUAUGCAAUGAUAGUGCAUACAUAAAUUUUUAUAUACACUGACGUGUAUGACCAUAUAGACAUUUAUUAUCAGUUUAUACAGUUAGUAGUGUAUAUGUAUAUUGAAAUGUAUAUAAAUACACUAAUAUGCAUAUAUAUAAAAGGCUUAUAUAUACACUAAUGUAUAAGACCAUGUAUAUACUUAUUAUCGAUGAUAUACACAUUUAUUAGUUCAAUUUGUGUACGUAUUGAUGUAUAGCAAUAUAUACCAUUGUUUUCAGUGUAUUUAUAUUUUCUGAUGCAUAUAACCAUAUAAUACAUUAGUUAUCUACUGUAUAUAUAAUUAUUAUGUGUGUGUGAUGUCUGUAUAUAUAUGUUGUGUAUAUACUGAUAUGUGUGUAUGUGUAAAGUGCAUAACUGUAUACAUAUAGUGCAUUAGUAUAUUCAUUUCUAUUUACAUUGAUAUAUAUGACGAUAUAUACAUUAUUUAUCAGUUUAUACAGUUAUUAGUAUAAAUGUACAUUGAUUUAUAUACUACACACACACUCACACUCAUGCACAAUCAUACUCCCACCCACACUCUCUCACACACACUCAUACUCACACUCACACUCACACUCAUACUCACACUCAUACACACACACUCAUACUCACACUAACACUCACACUCACACUAACACUCACUCACACAAUCACACUCAUACAGACUGACACACUCACACAUUCACACACACUCACACUCGUUGGCACACUCACACUCUCACAUACACUCACACACUCACACUCACACUCACACACAUAUUCACACACUCUCACAUACACUCACACACUCACACUCACACUCCCACUCCCAGUCACACUCACACUCACCCUCACCUAGACACACUCACAACUCACACACACUCACACAAACACUAACACUAACACUGACACUCACAGAUAUGUAUAUUAUACAUGCGUGGUGUGUAUGGAUUGAUGUGUGUAUAUUUACGAUAUGUAUAUGCAUAUCUUUUUGCGUAUAUGUAUACAGUUGCUUGCUAUCAGUUAUAUGCAAUUAUCGAUGUAUAUAUACACUAAUAUGCGCACACACAUGUACCCUUACGCGUAGAUAAGUGCGUAUAUAAUGUGUAUGUAUACACUAAUACAUGCAUUCUAUUUUAUAAAAGGAGGAUCAUGCCUCAGAAGGAAGACACUCGGGAUUUCUUUCUGAAUAUCAUAGCUAGGGUUUUAGUAUUCUGAGUGAUUGUUGUAAAUUUGAGUGAUUAUAAUUUCUGAGUGAUUGUUGUAAGCCUGAGUACUUAUUAGGAGUACUUUAAGUUUGUUUUCUGCCUCUCACCCCUAUUUUGAGCUUUUUUUUUGUUUUCUGCCUCUUACCUCUACUUCGAGCUUUCAUGUAAGUGCCUAUCUUUAUUCUGGUUUUAUACUUAUGUUCAUGGUUAUUAUAUAUGAAUGUUAAUCUUAUGAAUGUUGCUAUUUCUUUUUA